UUUCUACUCCCUCCGUCCGAAAAUACUUGUCAUCAAAAUGGAUAAAAAGAGAUGUAUCUAAAACUAAAAUGUGUCUAGAUACAUUUCCUUUUAUCCAUUUUGAUGACAAGUAUUUCCGGGCAGAGGGAGUAUUUG
rfam:Triticum aestivum genome assembly, contig: Triticum_aestivum_CS42_TGACv1_scaffold_290779_4AL